GAGCGGAUGACGGGAGCUUGCUCCUUGAUUCAGCGGCGGACGGGUGAGUAAUGCCUAGGAAUCUGCCUGGUAGUGGGGGACAACGUUUCGAAAGGAACGCUAAUACCGCAUACGUCCUACGGGAGAAAGCAGGGGUCCUUUGGGCCUUGCGCUAUCAGAUGAGCCUAGGUCGGAUUAGCUAAUUGGUGGGGUAAUGGCUCACCAAGGCGACGAUCCGUAACUGGUCUGAGAGGAUGAUCAGUCACACUGGAACUGAGACACGGUCCAGACUCCUACGGGAGGCAGCAGUGGGGAAUAUUGGACAAUGGGCGAAAGCCUGAUCCAGCCAUGCCGCGUGUGUGAAGAAGGUCUUCGGAUUGUAAAGCACUUUAAGUUGGGAGGAAGGGCAGUAAGUUAAUACCUUGCUGUUUUGACGUUACCGACAGAAUAAGCACCGGCUAACUCUGUG
rnacentral:rRNA from 1 species